UGGGAUGGUAAAGGAGAGCAUCUCUGC
rnacentral:piRNA from 1 species